rnacentral:rRNA from 1 species
UACGUAGGGGGCAAGCGUUAUCCGGAUUUACUGGGUGUAAAGGGAGCGUAGACGGCAUGGCAAGUCAGAUGUGAAAACCCGGGGCUCAACCCCGGGAUUGCAUUUGAAACUGUCAAGCUAGAGUACCGGAGAGGUAAGUGGAAUUCCUAGUGUAGCGGUGAAAUGCGUAGAUAUUAGGAGGAACACCAGUGGCGAAGGCGGCUUACUGGACGGAAACUGACGUUGAGGCUCGAAAGCGUGGGGAG